rnacentral:tRNA from 1 species
GCCUUCGUAGUUUAAUGGAUAAAACAGGUGGCUUCUAUCCACUCAAUCCAGGUUCGAGUCCUGGCGAAGGCA